GACGAACGCUGGCGGCGUGCUUAACACAUGCAAGUCGAACGGUGAAGCGCCUUGCUUUUUGGUGGGUGUGGAUGAGUGGCGAACGGGUGAGUAACACGUGAGUAACCUGCCCCCUUCUUCUGGAUAACCGCAUGAAAGUGUGGCUAAUACGGGAUAUUCUGGGUCUGUCGCAUGAUGGGUCUGGGAAAGAUAUUGUUUCGGUGGGGGAUGGGCUCGCGGCCUAUUAGCUUGUUGGUGGGGUGAUGGCCUACCAAGGCGGCGAUGCGUAGCCGGCCUGAGAGGAGGAUCGGCGAUCACACUGCUGAUGCGACGCCGAGCCGACUACGACGGGCGGCAGCAGUGAAGAUUACGGCACGGUGGGCGGAAUGCUGGAGCAGCGACGCCGCGUGAGUGAUGGACUCCGGCUCGUUGUGCUCCGCUUUCGGGAGUGAAGCAGGCCUGCAGCGUCUGUGCGUGGGUUGACGGUAGCUGGAUAAGAAGCGCCGGCUAACUACGUG
rnacentral:rRNA from 1 species